rnacentral:rRNA from 1 species
GACGAACGCUGGCGGCGUGCUUAACACAUGCAAGUCGAACGGAAAGGCCCUGCUUUUGUGGGGUGCUCGAGUGGCGAACGGGUGAGUAACACGUGAGUAACCUGCCCUUGACUUUGGGAUAACUUCAGGAAACUGGGGCUAAUACCGGAUAGGAGCUCCUGCUGCAUGGUGGGGGUUGGAAAGUUUCGGCGGUUGGGGAUGGACUCGCGGCUUAUCAGCUUGUUGGUGGGGUAGUGGCUUACCAAGGCUUUGACGGGUAGCCGGCCUGAGAGGGUGACCGGCCACAUUGGGACUGAGAUACGGCCCAGACUCCUACGGGAGGCAGCAGUGGGGAAUAUGGCACAAUGGGCGGAAGCCUGAUGCAGCAACGCCGCGUGCGGGAUGACGGCCUUCGGGUGGUAAACCGCUUUCGCCUGUGACGAAGCGUGAGUGACGGUAAUGGGUAAAGAAGCACCGGCUAACUACGU